CCAUCCACCAAUCAGCAUGCUCACAGCCAUUCACUGUCUGGCUACAGGCUGGGAGGCAGGUAGAGAAUGCUGCCUCACUGCUCUGAUUGUGUGACCACCAUCUGCCCCUGCUCUAAGGCCCCUAGAAUUGUAGAUCCCUGGACAGCUGCCCAGUGUGGCGGGCUUAUAUAAGAAGAAGAACGGAAGCUGAGUGCUGCAUCCCAGGUACAGUGGCUGUGAUCCACAGCGCUGCUGAUUCCCGAGGACAGGAACAAAUCUAACCCAGGUGUAUUUGUAUGAAUCUAACAGACACCAUGGUGAAAUUACCGAAACAGUGCAUUGGAUACGAUGAAAAGGCAAGAGAAAACAAUACAAGAGGACAGAUGGCCUGGCUAGAAUACAGCAUACGACCACAUUGAACAUAGGUUCCAUCUGCAGGACCCUUACAACUGAGGACAGCAGGAGCUGGGGGCUAUGUGGAGGGAAUGCUGUCACUUUUGUGGGGGAGGGACCCCAAUUCAUUGUUCUCUAAAAAACCCUUUGCACUCAGCUGACAUUCUUAAAUAGAUUAGUAAACACCCCUCUAUGAUACCUAACUUGUGUGGUGCCACACUAGCUGCUGUUAGCCUAAUAAAAGAGUAUUGUUUAGUGCAUAAACAAAAUGGAUGCAGUAAAGUCAGAAUUGUGCUGUUGCAGAGUGACCUUGCAGGGGGACAGGGUGUUCAUGAUAAGCAUUCAGCAGAAUCAUCUGUAGAGAGCUGACAAAGAAAUGUUUCUGUAAUCACACAGCUAUUGUGGUCUAGUCCACCCCUUAAUUCCUAGAAUUGUAGCAUGUGGUAAAAAAAUUCUUAAUGUUUUCUGAUUUGUGAACAAGUAUUGAUUGUUCUCACACACAGCAGUGCUGCGUCUCUACCCUCUAAUAACACAUGAUGCCUUCACUGUUUUUUUGUUUUGCUUUGUAGAACUGGAAAUGAAGUUACCAUCUGUAAUAAAGCAGGAUUCAUCAUA